AGAGAGAGACAUGCGCGCAUAUCAAUAAGCGGAGGAAAAGAAACUAACAAGGAUUCCCUUAGUAACGGCGAGUGAAGCGGGAAGAGCUCAAAUUUGAAAUCUUCAAGGUUCUACCUUGACGAAUUGUAGUUUAUAGAAGUGUUUUCUGUUAGUGGAGUGGCAAAAGUUCUUUGGAAUAGGACAUCAUAGAGGGUGAGAAUCCCGUAUUUGGUCAUUCCUCCUAGCGUUGUGAUACACUUUCAACGAGUCGGAUUGUUUGGGAAUGCAGUCCAAAAUGGGUGGUAAAUAUCAUCUAAAGCUAAAUAUUGGCGAGAGGACCGAUAGCGAACAAGUACCGUGAGGGAAAGAUGAAAAGAACUUUGAAAAGAGAGUUAGAACAGUACGUGAAAUUGUCAAAAGGGAAGCGUUUGACACCAGUGUUGUUUUUCCGAAAAUCAAUUACGAAUGUUUUAUUUUUGAGGAGUUAUGACUUCAUCGGCUUGCUCCUUUCUUUAUGAAACUUUCUUAAUGCACUUUUCGGUUAACAAGUCAACAUCAAUUUCUUUUGUUGUAAAAGGGUAUGAGGAAGGUGGCUUUCUUUUCGGAGAAAGUGUUUAUAGCCUUGUGCCUCUGCAAUCGGAGAGAUUGAGGUCUGCAGCGUAGAUCCUUCGGGGUUAGAUACGUUUGUGCUAAGUUAUAGCUUUUCAUAGACAACUUGUUGACUAUGUUUAGUCUUGUAGCUUACUCGCUGACGCUAUUUUACCUACGCUUAGGAUGUUGAUAGUCACAGCGUGUAC
rnacentral:rRNA from 1 species